GAUGAACGCUGGCGGCGUGCUUAACACAUGCAAGUCGAACGGAAAGGCCAGUGCUUGCACUUGUACUCGAUUGGCGAACGGGUGAGUAACACGUGUGUGAUCUGCCCUGCACUUCGGGAUAAGCCUGGGAAACUGGGUCUAAUACCGGAUAGGACAAUGGGUUGGAUGCUGUUGUGGAAAGUUUUUGCGGUGUGGGAUGAGCGCGCGGCCUAUCAGCUUGUUGGUGGGGGAAUGGUCUACCAAGGCGUCGGCGGGUAGCCGGCCUGAGAGGGUGUACGACGAGAUGGGGACUUAGAUAAGGGGCAGACUCCGGAAGGCGGCGGCAGGGGGGAAUAUUGAACAAUGGGCGAAGGGCGGAUGCAGAGACGCCGCGUGGGGGAUGAAGGAAUUCGGGUUGCAAAGUCCUGUCGCCAGGGAAGAAGCGUAUUUGUGACGGUACCUGAAGAAGAAGCACCGGCUAACUACGUG
rnacentral:rRNA from 1 species